rnacentral:tRNA from 1 species
GCCGGAGUGAUGGAAUUGGUAGACGUGAUGGACUCAAAAUCCAUUGGACUAAUACUCCGUGCGGGUUCGAGUCCCGCCUCCGGCACCA